GCACUGGUGGUUCAGUGGUAGAAUUCUCGCCUCCCACGCGGGAGACCCGGGUUCAAUUCCCGGUCAAGAUA
rfam:Homo sapiens chromosome 1, GRCh38 reference primary assembly.